GGUGCCGUAGCCAAGUGGUAAGGCAUAGGUUUGCAAAACCUACAAUCACCGGUUCGACUCCGGUCGGCACCU
rnacentral:tRNA from 1 species